UGACGAGCGGCGGACGGGUGAGUAAUGUCUGGGAAACUGCCUGAUGGAGGGGGAUAACUACUGGAAACGGUAGCUAAUACCGCAUAACGUCGCAAGACCAAAGAGGGGGACCUUCGGGCCUCUUGCCAUCAGAGUGUGCCCAGAGUGUGGAUUAGCUAGUAGGUGGGCUAAUGGCUCACCUAGGCGACGAUCCCUAGCUGGUCUGAAGAGGAUGACCAGCCACACUGGAACUGAGACACGGUCCAGACUCCUACGGGAGGCAGGCAGUGGGGAAUAUUGCACAAUGGGCGCAAGCCUGAUGCAGCCAUGCCGCGUGUGUGAAGAAGGCCUUCGGGUUGUAAAGCACUUUCAGCGAGGAGGAAGGUGGUGAACUUAAUACGUUCAUCAAUUGACGUUACUCGCAGAAGAAGCACCGGCUAACUCCGUGCCAGCAGCCGCGGUAAUACGGAGGGUGCAAGCGUUAAUCGGAAUUACUGGGCGUAAAGCGCACGCAGGCGGUUUGUUAAGUCAGAUGUGAAAUCCCCGGGCUCAACCUGGGAACUGCAUUUGAAACUGGCAAGCUAGAGUCUCGUAGAGGGGGGUAGAAUUCCAGGUGUAGCGGUGAAAUGCGUAGAGAUCUGGAGGAAUACCGGUGGCGAAGGCGGCCCCCUGGACGAAGACUGACGCUCAGGUGCGAAAGCGUGGGGAGCAAACAGGAUUAGAUACCCUGGUAGUCCACGCUGUAAACGAUGUCGAUUUGGAGGUUGUGCCCUUGAGGCGUGGCUUCCGGAGCUAACGCGUUAAAUCGACCGCCUGGGGAGUACGGCCGCAAGGUUAAAACUCAAAUGAAUUGACGGGGGCCCGCACAAGCGGUGGAGCAUGUGGUUUAAUUCGAUGCAACGCGAAGAACCUUACCUACUCUUGACAUCCAGAGAACUUUCCAGAGAUGGAUUGGUGCCUUCGGGAACUCUGAGACAGGUGCUGCAUGGCUGUCGUCAGCUCGUGUUGUGAAAUGUUGGGUUAAGUCCCGCAACGAGCGCAACCCUUAUCCUUUGUUGCCAGCGGUUCGGCCGGGAACUCAAAGGAGACUGCCAGUGAUAAACUGGAAGAAGGUGGGGAUGACGUCAAGUCAUUCAUGGCCCUUACGAGUAGGGCUACACACGUGCUACAAUGGCGUAUACAAAGAGAAGCGACCUCGCUGAGAGCAAGCGGACCUCAUAAAGUACGUCGUAGUCCGAAUUGGAGUCUGCAACUCGACUCCAUGAACUCGGAAUCGCUAGUAAUCUGAAG
rnacentral:rRNA from 1 species